UUUGAAAGCUGGCUCCUUCGGGGUCCGCAUUGUAAUUUGCAGAGGAUGCUUCGGGAGCGGCCCCCAUCUAAGUGCCCUGGAACGGGCCGUCAUANANGGUGAGAAUCCCGUCUGGNAUGGGGUGCCCGCGCCCGNGUGAAGCUCCUUCNACNAGUCNAGNUGNUUGGGAAUGCAGCUCUAAAUGGGUGGUAAAUUUCAUCUAAAGCUAAAUACUGGCCGGAGACCGAUAGCGCACAAGUAGAGUGAUCGAAAGAUGAAAAGCACUUUGAAAAGAGAGUUAAACAGCACGUGAAAUUGUUGAAAGGGAAGCGCUUGCGACCAGACUCGCCUGUAGGGUUCAGCCGGCAUUCGUGCCGGUGUACUUCCCUGCGGGCGGGCCANCGUCGGUUUGGGCGGCCGGUCAAAGGCCCUCGGAAUGUAACGCCCCCCGGGGCGUCUUAUAGCCGAGGGUGCCNUGCNGCCAGCCCGGACCGAGGAACGCGCUUCGGCUCGGACGCUGGCNUAAUGGUCGUAAGCGACCCGUCUUGAAACACGGACCAAGGAGUCUAACAUCUACGCGAGUGUUCGGGUGUCAAACCCGUGCGCGCAGUGAAAGCGAANGGAGGUGGGAACCCCUCGGGGUGCACCAUCGACCGAUCCUGAUGUCUUCGGAUGGAUUUGAGUAAGAGCGUAGCUGUUNGGACCCGAAAGAUGGUGAACUAUGCCUGAAUAGGGCGAAGCCAGAGGAAACUCUGGUGGAGGCUNGCAGCGGUUCUGACGUGCAAAUCGAUCGUCAAAUUUGGGUAUAGGGGCGAAAGACUAA
rnacentral:rRNA from 1 species